rnacentral:rRNA from 1 species
UACGGGGGGGGCAAGCGUUGUUCGGAAUUACUGGGCGUAAAGGGCUUGUAGGUGGCCAACUAAGUCAGACGAAAUCCCACGGCUUAACCGAGGAACUGCGUCUGAUACUGGAUGGCUUGAGUGUGGGAGAGGGAUGCGGAAUUCCAGGUGUAGCGGUGAAAUGCGUAGAUAUCUGGAGGAACACCGGUGGCGAAGGCGGCAUCCUGGACCAUGACUGACACUGAAAAGCGAAAGCCAGGGGAGCAAACGGG